rnacentral:lncRNA from 1 species
AUGGGGUGGCUGUGUCUAUGGGCUGUCUAUGGGGUGGCUGUGUCUAUGGGGCAGCUGUGUCUAUGGGGUGUCUGUCUAUGGGGUGUCUGUCUAUGGGGUGCCUGUCUAUGGGGCAGCUGUCUAUGGGGUGUCUGUGUCUAUGGGGUGGCUGUGGUUAUGGGGCAGCUGUAUCUAUGGGCUGUCUAUGGGGCAGCUGUAGUUAUGGGGCAGUCUAUGGGGUUUUCUCACCGUCUCCGUGUGCCCCGUGGGGUGUCUAUGGGGUGGCUGUGUCUAUGGGGUGUCUAUGGGGUGGCUGUGUCUAUGGGGUGUCUAUGGGGUGUCUGUCUAUGGGGCAGCUGUAGUUAUGGGGCAGUCUAUGGGGUUUCCUCACCGUCUCCGUGUGCCCCGUGGGGUGUCUAUGGGGCAGCUAUGUCUAUGGGGUGUCUAUGGGGUGUCUGUCUAUGGGGCAAG